CCUAUGCGGCCCCAGCUCUGGUCUAAAAGAGCUGCUCUUAGACACCGAUUUCCACUGGCACACGAAAGGUCGGUCAUCGUUUGCGGUGGAUUGGAAUUUACAUUGCGGCGGAGAGUUUCUCAGGUCACUGCUGGGAUCGGUCUUCUUCGGAGGGGCCCUUCUUGGGACUUUUAUAGGCGGGAACUUGUUUGAUAUGAUCGGUCGAAAGCUGGGGGCCUUGGUAGGCUACGGUAUUGUUACAGUGUCAACCCUUAUAGCUGCGUUCUCUCCUUCAAUAGAAUUCUUGUUUGUAUGCCGCUUCUUUCAAGGAGCGGGUGUUUACAUUGGAUCAACAGGAGGUUUUGUAUUAUUGCUGGAGUACACAGCCUC